rnacentral:lncRNA from 1 species
ACAGAGACCAUCGGAGUUUCGCUCUCGAAGAGCAAAUCAUCCUCUUCAGAAGAGCCUGAGAAGCAAGAAGACUGCUGUUCGUGCCAUAUCGUGUAGAGAUCCUUGGUGAGCUUCUCGACCGAGGAAUGUUUCGGACGGUUCACACAGGUUCUCUUUCGAGACGGCACAGUCGAGUCCCAGACCACUGUUUGACCAGAGCCUGCACCACAAACCACAGUCAGUGUUAAGAUUUUUACUUAGUCUACAUCACAAAACGUUAGGCAUUCUCUUCAUUUCUGCCUUAGUUAUUAACAAUGCAGCUACUUAAGUCUAUGUUUGGAUGCUAUAUGUCACAUUGAAUUGAAACGAAGAUUCGGAUAUGAUAUCGAUAAAGACGUUAUGAGAUAUGAUAAAAACCGUCGUGAAAACUUACAUUCAGAUCAAUGCUACACAGAGGCGACUUACGACUGCCGAGAAUCUGCACCUUCUCGUCUCUGAAAUAAAAAAAACUCGAGCAAGUCAGUCCAUUUUCCGCAAAAGCAAGUACCGAUCGCUACAUCGCUCUAUUCAAAGCACGAACCGGAUAAGCUGCUGAUGAUGCUGCAUUCCUUGACCAGGACGGUUGACUGAACGGGAGUAAGCUUCAUUAACCGAAAGGGAACUAGCUUCGGACUCCUCAUCUCGAGCUAUGGUACUAGGAUGCCUGAUGAGGACACUUCCAUGUCCUAUCUCGACAGAGACCAUCGGAGUUUCGCUCUCGAAGAGCAAAUCAUCCUCUUCAGAAGAGCCUGAGAAGCAAGAAGACUGCUGUUCGUGCCAUAUCGUGUAGAGAUCCUUGGUGAGCUUCUCGACCGAGGAAUGUUUCGGACGGUUCACACAGGUUCUCUUUCGAGACGGCACAGUCGAGUCCCAGACCACUGUUUGACCAGAGC